rnacentral:sRNA from 1 species
UGCCUAUGUCACAGUCUAAGUUCGUGACAUCGUGUCGCAACGACUGUAUGACCCACAUCGUGUGGG